GCCGGUGUAGCUCAAUUUGGCAGAGCAACUGACUUGUAAUCAGUAGGUUGCGGGUUCGAGUCCCAUCACCGGCUCCA
rnacentral:tRNA from 1 species